rnacentral:rRNA from 1 species
UACGUAGGCAGCGAGCGUUGUUCGGAGUUACUGGGCGUAAAGCGUGCGUAGGCGGUCUUGUAAGUUUGGUGUGAAAUCUCCCGGCUCAACUGGGAGGGUGCGCCGAAAACUGCAAGGCUGGAGUAUGGGAGAGGUAGGCGGAAUUCCUGGUGUAGCGGUGAAAUGCGUAGAUAUCAGGAGGAACACCGGUGGCGAAGGCGGGUCUCUGGGCUGUAACUGACGCUGAGGAGCGAAAGCGUGGGUAGCGAACAGG